CGGCCCAAGAGCAUUUGAGCAGGAAGGAAGAGAAUAGAGGAAAAAAGAAAACCAAAAAAGGAAGAAGAAGAGAGUCACAAGACGAAGAACAAGUCACUCGAUCGAUGCAUGAGGGAAUGGAAGAGAAAGUCGAGCUCCGGUCGGGAAGGAAGAGGAAAGAAAGGAAGAGAGAAAGAAAGAGAUGGAAACUGUAGCUAUCACAAGAAAUUUGAUCCUCCCCCUGGCAGUGAUUAGUAACUAAGAUCUCUAUGCUG
rnacentral:lncRNA from 1 species